AGGUACCGUCAACCUACCGGCUUAUUCAUCCGUUAGGGAUUCGUCCCUCUUGACAGGAGUUUACGACCCAAGGCCUUCGUCCUCCACGCGGCGUCGCUGCGUCAGGCUUUCGCCCAUUGCGCAAAAUUCCUCA
rnacentral:rRNA from 1 species